rnacentral:rRNA from 1 species
UGAGUACGAGCGGCUACGGCCGCGAAGUGGAUGAUGUCAAGCUUCCAAGAAAAGCCCUAUACCCGUUAAGGCAUGAUGGCCUGUACCCGAAACCGACACAGGUGGGGUGGUAGAGAAUACCGAGGGGCGCGAGGUAACUCUCUCUAAGGAACUCGGCAAAAUGGCCCCGUAACUUCGGGAGAAGGGGUGCCACCGCGAGGUGGUCGCAGUGAAGAGGCCCAGGCAACUGUUUACCAAAAACACAGGUCUCCGCUAAGUCGCAAGACGAUGUAUGGGGGCUGACGCCUGCCCAGUGCCGGAAGGUUAAGGAAGCUGGUCAGCGCAAGCGAAGCUGGCGACUGAAGCCCCGGUGAACGGCGGCCGUAACAAUAACGGUCCUAAGGUAGCGAAAUUCCUUGUCGGGUAAGUUCCGACCCGCACGAAAGGCGUAACGAUCUGGGCGCUGUCUCGGAGAGAGGCUCGGCGAAAUAGAAUUGUCUGUGAAGAUGCGGACUACGUGCACCCGGACAGAAAGACCCUAUGAAGCUUUACUGUAGCUUGGUAUUGUGCUCGGGCUCGGAAUGCGCAGGAUAGGUGGGAGGCUUUGAUCCAUUGCUUGCGGGUGAUGGUGAGCCACUGGUGAGAUACCACUCUUUCCGAGCUAGAGUUCUAACAGCAACCCGUUAUCCGGGUGCUGGACAGUAUCAGGUGGGCAGUUUGACUGGGGCGGUCGCCUCCUAAAAGGUAACGGAGGCGCGCAAAGGUCUGCUCAGGCUGGUUGGAAAUCAGCCGACGAGUGUAAAAGCAGAAGCAGGCUUGACUGUGAGACCUACAAGUCGAACAGGGAGGAAACUCGGCUUUAGUGAUCCGACGGUUCUGCGUGGAAGGGCCGUCGCUCAACGGAUAAAAGUUACUCUAGGAUAACAGGCUGAUCUCCCCCAAGAGUUCACAUCGACGGGGAGGUUUGGCACCUCGAUGUCGGCUCAUCGCAACCUGGGGCUGAAGUCGGUCCCAAGGGUUGGGCUGUUCGCCCAUUAAAGCGGUACGCGAGCUGGGUUCAGAACGUCGUGAGACAGUUCGGUCCAUAUCCGGUGCACGCGCAGGAAUAUUGAGAGGAUUUCUCCCUAGUACGAGAGGACCGGGAGGAACGCACCUCUGGUGUGCCAGUUAUCGUGCCAACGGUAAACGCUGGGUAGCCAUGUGCGGGGUGGAUAACCGCUGAAAGCAUCUAAGUGGGAAGCCCACCUCAAGAUGAGUAUUCCCAUGGCAUAAGCCAGUAAGGUCACGGGAAGAACACCCGUUGAUAGGCUCUACGUGGAAGCGCAGUAAUGUGUGAAGCGGAGGAGUACUAAUAGACCGAGGGCUUGACC